UCGGGGUUUCGUACGUAGCAGAGCAG
rnacentral:piRNA from 7 species